AAAACUUUAAGGAUUACAUUCCCCUGAAUGAUAUGGUCAAGUAAGUGGUUGCCCAAAGUGCGGAUACAUAACACCGGUCUCCCGCAUUUUUGUUUUUCAGAGUUUUGUAAAAGCAUCAACAGAGUAAACGCUGCGAGGGCGCAGGGAGCUGAGCGCUCAUUAAGGAACGAGGAGGGAAUGGGAACUCCAGCCCGUGGUGUGAUAGGUGCCCAUUGGUUAGCUGUCCCUGGAAGGUUGCCUUCUUCUAAGAGCCAUUCCACAGAAUAAAUGAGAGAUGGAAAGCCAUAUUUGCCUCAGGUAAACAGGAGGGACACCUACGAGCUCCCCCCGCCAUUUAUGUUUACAACGGAAACUCUGGAACUCAAAGUUAACAUCCUUGCUGGUGAGCCUCUUACAGAUAACAGAGAAAGUUUCAACCUUGUGCUCUAUGUCGUUCUGCUGUGCUUUAUCCAAAUGAACCUUUGUGAGCAGACUGCCAUCCAGUUUCACGUGGAUCCUCUUGCCUACAGUUUUGCCUGGGAAAACCAAGUCCUCCAGGAUUGCAUCACGCACGGCUUUCAAAGGGCAGAUCCUGGGACACUUUUGCUCGUUUUUUGUAUGGCUUUUUUCAAGUUGGCUGAGGCAGAAUUCUCCUCUGAGCCAUAAAGACAACAUGCUUCCCAGUGAACUUUUUCUCCAAUUCAAAGACUUGCUGGACUUGGACUUCUUGGAAAGAUUUCAGUUGAGGAAUGGAAACAAAGAUGGUAAGAACCUUCCAACCACCGCCAACUUCAGUUUUCUUGGCUGCUGUUAUAUUCAUCUGCCCUAGCUGGGCUUGGAGUUCCGAGUUCCUCUCCAGCUCAAGGAGAGCCUGGUAGACGCCGGACUCCAGCUCAUCCAGCUUCUUGCCAUUGGGCCUCAUGAUCGUGCUGGAACUGAACAUGGCCUUCUCGGUGAGCGCCCUGGCUUAGGAAGAACCUACGAGCAUUUUCAAGUCGGGUCCUUUUCUCAAAGGGACAGCUGGACCUUCAGAUCAAUGUAUCAGCGUAUGGCACCAGCACAAUUUUUUCUCUCCAAAUAUGUAUACUCAAAUAAAUACAAAGACAUUAUGACUUAAUGUGCCAAUACUAUGAAACUGACAAAGUUUUUGAAAUAAUCUAAGAGGAGUUGGGCCAGUGCCUAAAGCAAACAGCAUAACUAAUAAAUGAUUAAGAAAAUGCAGAAAAAAACAGAAUGUCAAUUUUGUCUUCUCUAUCUAGAAACUGACCUUUAGACCAGUUUAGAAUAUACAUAGUUCAAAGUUGGACUUUGAACCCAAAAAAUAAUCCUGUAAAAAAUGGACAGAAGACAUGAGCAGACACUCCUCCAAAGAAGACAUGCAGAUGGCCAACAGACACAUGAAAAGAUGCUCAACAUCAGUCAUCAUCAGUGAAAUGCUAAUUAAAGCUACCAUGAGAUACCACCUCACACGGGUCAGAACGGCAAAAAUCAAAAACACAAGAAACAAGAACUGUUGGUGAGGAUGUGGAGAAAGGGGAACCCUCUUACACUGUUGGUGGGAAUGCAAACUGGUGCAGCCACUCUGGAAGUUCCUCAAAAGUUAAAAAUAGAAUGACCCUAUGAUCCCGGAAUUGCACUACUAGAUAUUUACCAGAAAAAUACAAAAACACUAUUUCAAAGAGAUGCACGCAUCCCCAUGUUUAUAGCAGCAUUAUUUACCACAGACAAAUUAUGGAAGCAGCCCGUGUACAUCCAUAGAUGAAUGGAUAAAGAAGUGGUUGGGCGCCUGGGUGGCUUAGUCGGUUGAGUGUCUGUCUUCAGCUCAGGUCAUGAUUUCAGGGUCCUGGGAUCGAGUCCCGCAUCGGGCUCCUUGCUCAGUGGGGAGCCUGCUUCUCCCUCUCCCUCCACCUGCCGCCCCCCCUGCUUAUGCUCUCUGUCAAAUAAACAAAAUCUUAAAAAAAAAAGUGGUGUGUGUGUGAUGGAAUAUUAUUCAGCCAUAAAAAAGAACAAAAUCUUGCCAUUUGCAAUGAUACAGACGGAGCUAGAGAGUAUUAGGCUAAGUGAAAUAGGUCAGAGAAAGACAAAUACCAUAUAACUUAACUGUGUGAAACAAAAAAAAACAAAAACGACAAGAAAUGAGCAAAGGGGUUUAAAAAAAAAAAAAAAGAGUGAAAGACACAAUACAAUCCAAAAAAAACAAACUCUUAACUAUGGAGAACUG
rnacentral:lncRNA from 1 species